UACGGGGGGGGGCAAGCGUUGUUCGGAAUUACUGGGCGUAAAGGGCCAGUAGGCGGCCAACUAAGUCGGAUGUGAAAUCCCCGGGCUCAACCCGGGAACUGCGUCCGAUACUGGAAGGCUUGAAUCCGGGAGAGGGAUGUGGAAUUCCAGGUGUAGCGGUGAAAUGCGUAGAUAUCUGGAGGAACACCGGUGGCGAAGGCGACAUCCUGGACCGGUAUUGACGCUGAGGCGCGAAAGCCAGGGGAGCAAAGCGGGG
rnacentral:rRNA from 1 species